CUGGGGAGUACGUCGGCAACGAUGAUACUCAAAGGUAUUGACGGGGGCCCGCACAAUCGGAGGAGCACAGUGGUUUAAUUCGAUGAUACGCGAGGAACCUUACCUGGGCUUGAACGUAUGGUGCAUGAGUGUGAAAGCACUCUUUCCUUCACAGGACUUCAUACGAGGUGCUGCAUGGUUGUCGUCAGCUCGUGCCGUGAGGUGUUAGGUUAAGUCCUGCAACGAGCGCAACCCCUGUUUUUAGUUGCCAGCAGGUUAUGCUGGGCACUCUAGAUAGACUGCCUGCGCAAGCAGAGAGGAAGGUGGGGAUGACGUCAAAUCAGCACGGCCCUUACGUCCAGGGCUACACACGUGCUACAAUGGUCGGCACAGAGGUNGGCUACCCGGUAACGGGAUGCUAAUCUCCAAAGUCGAUCUUAGUUCGGAUCGAAGUCUGCAACUCGACUUCGUGAAGUUGGAUUCGCUAGUAUUCGUAUAUCAGCCAUGAUACGGUGANUACGUGCCCGGCCUUGUACACACCGCCCGUCAAGC
rnacentral:rRNA from 1 species